UCUCUAUAUGUUAUUACUGUGUAAAACAGUAGUCUACUAUAAUAUACACACACAGAAAUUGCGAGGCUUUUUUUUUUUCAUCUAAAUAUCGUCCGGAUGCCUUUGGCUACGUUGGCCAGCAUUACUUCUGGGGCUUUUCCCAGCACACGUCGGGCCAAAUCAUCAAUCACUUGUCUAUGAGGCACGUACGCUUAUUGCGCAAGUGCACGUCACUCCGAUUGCGUGUGUAAUAACGUGCCAUUCAUUACUAUACCAAGAAGUCAAUUGCUAACCGACUAACGGGACGCGGGUGAUUAUUUUUAUCUAGCCAAACCGGUCGCGGUCAUUCACUCGUCUUUUUUUGUCGUAAGUUUAUCAUACACAACGAAAAUAUUGAAUUUCUCCAAACAAAAAAAGAGCGCAUGACAAAUCAAAAUUGGCAGAGCCAUGACACGAAAUGCCCUUAAGGAGAUGCGCAGCAGUUCCAAGUUAAAUUCGAUAACGUCUAAAAAGAGUCAAUCGAGUGACGGUCCGAGCCGUAUAAGACGAUUGGUCAACAUCCGCUUGCUGCUGGUAAACAGCUCCGGGGCUCUCACAGUCUUAUGGAUGGUGGGCAGCACACGUUUCUGGCUCUUUCCAGUGAACGAGAGAGUGCGACGUGACCGGACGACCGCCAAACAAGUUGCUGCCCCCCUCCCGACAGUCAAAGCCAUCUCUCACCUGAGGGUUUCGUCAGUUUGUCAAUCUGUGUCUUUUUUCUAUUUGGCCUCCAGUCGUCGCAAAGCCAUACCAGUUAAAUAGACACAGCACCAGUUGUUGUAGCUUAAACUAGUCAAUAAAAUAAAAAUAAAAUGAAAAAAAGUGUUUCCUGGUGGUGACGCAUGCAGUGCGUUAUUUAGCCAACUUUAACACUCGAUCGAUUACGGAACAAUGCUCAGACGCGCUUGUAUGCAAGCGGCGAAAUCAAUUUGUAUUUCUACCGAGGUCAGAAGCCAUGGAUAUAUAAAAAAUCAAACAUUUCCGUAAACCAAAAAAUUCCGACAUUCCAAGGAGUUGCACUUGAAAUAUCCACCUUGAAGUGUUUCUUUUCUUUCGAUUUCGAAAUUUAGUUCUGCCACGCACGCCAUGAAACGCGCAUUAAAAAAAAUGGGCGGACGUUAAUUUCAAAAAGCCCAACGCAACAGAAUUAAAAGUGCUGGGAAAAACUCCGGUAGGACGAGAGAUGUUAAAGGUCUGAUAGUAGUACUAAUUUCAGUUCUCGCCGCACUAUAAGGACACACGUCCUGCGGACACGAGAGCCAUCCGAGGAAAUAGGAUGGCCAGCCACACGAAAAGCGGCGACGCCCAGCAGCAGCUGAGAGGGCAGCAGCUAUAGCAACAGCAACAGCAUAAAGCCAAAAAAACCCAUCCUAUAUCAACGCUGCGCAUUGCGCUCUCAUUGAUGAUGCACUAAUUCAAGUUUUUGGAAUGCGUGUGGUGCUCUUAUUUUUUUCACUCUGCGGCGUGCAACAUUUGACGGUCAUUCCUGGCGCUGGGAAAAUCCCAGCGUCCUUGCCUCGUCUAAUGGAAAAGAUCUUGUUUUAUGGUGAUUCAAAAGAGCCAAGCGACCCUUGUUGUUGUUGUUGCCCUGCUAAAAAAGAAGAAGAAGAGUCUCGCUGCGUUUUGAAACUUCCGCGGGGUAUAUAAAGCGAGCAAAAACGCUGGCAUUCCACACAAAGCAGUCGCAUUGAUCGAAGAGUGAAGACCUGGAGAGAGGCGAAACUCGAGACAUUUCACCAUGAACAAGGGAAUUCUUAUGCUGUUGAUAUUCGCUGUCGUCUGCGUCCUGGUGACGUCGUCCGCAAAGACCGAAGCUGUCGCCGCCGUGGAGACCGGAGUAGCCGCUAACGUCGACGAUGUGGUGGACGACUUGGACGGCGAAGCCUCUCGUCGCCGUCGGAUGCGCCAAUUUCGCCCUAGCCGCAGGAGAGGCGGAUAUUUCCCCCGUUGGCUUUUCGGUGGUUAGAAAUUGAAUAUGAGCAGCAAACGAAAUUUGUUAUUUCCGGCUAAGUUCCAGCGCAAUUUGCAAUAAUACCCGGUAUAGUCGGUUAUCGAAAAUAUCUGAAAUGUUGACUACGUGACCCUUUUGAUUUGUUAUCAUUUUUACCUCGCUGCAUUUGUCUUUGUGAUAUUCAGUACGUUUGUUCAACAUUACAUAACCAUCGUUCUUUUGCCAU
rnacentral:lncRNA from 1 species